CGAAGGGGGCUAGCGUUGUUCGGAAUUACUGGGCGUAAAGCGCGUGUAGGCGGUUAUCCAAGUCGGGUGUGAAAGCCUUGAGCUCAACUCAAGAAAUGCACUCGGUACUGGGUGACUAGAGGACCGGAGAGGAUAGUGGAAUUCCCAGUGUAGUGGUGAAAUACGUAGAGAUUGGGAAGAACACCAGUGGCGAAGGCGGCUAUCUGGACGGUUUCUGACGCUAAGACGCGAAAGCGUGGGGAGCAAACAGGAUUAGAUACCCUGGUAGUCCACGCCGUAAACGAUGGGUGCUAGACGUUGGCGAGCUUGCUCGUCAGUGUCGCAGCUAACGCGUUAAGCACCCCGCCUGGGGAGUACGGCCGCAAGGUUG
rnacentral:rRNA from 1 species